rnacentral:rRNA from 1 species
GAUGAACGCUGGCGGCGUGCCUAAUACAUGCAAGUCGAGCGAACGGACGAGAAGCUUGCUUCUCUGAUGUUAGCGGCGGACGGGUGAGUAACACGUGGAUAACCUACCUAUAAGACUGGGAUAACUUCGGGAAACCGGAGCUAAUACCGGAUGAUAUUUUGAACCGCAUUGUUCAAAAGUGAAAGACGGUCUUGCUGUCACUUAUAGAUGGAUCCGCGCUGCAUUAGCUAGUUGGUAAGGUAACGGCUUACCAAGGCAACGAUGCAUAGCCGACCUGAGAGGGUGAUCGGCCACACUGGAACUGAGACACGGUCCAGACUCCUACGGGAGGCAGCAGUAGGGAAUCUUCCGCAAUGGGCGAAAGCCUGACGGAGCAACGCCGCGUGAGUGAUGAAGGUCUUCGGAUCGUAAAACUCUGUUAUUAGGGAAGAACAUAUGUGUAAGUAAAUGUGCACAGCUUGACGGUACCUAAUCAGAAAGCCACGGCUAACUACGUG